rnacentral:lncRNA from 1 species
CAGUUUAGCAGAGAUUGUACUGCAAUUUCGUUGUGAUAUUAAGGUUGGUGAUGUUAGGUGUGAUAAACUAAUAUUGUAUAUGCGUACAUAAGUGCACGCACACACACAUACACACACACACAAAAACACUCACACACACUUGUAUUAUAUGUGUAUGUAUAUAUGUAUACUUUUUUUAUUAAAGCUGCAAAAUUAUCACAACACUGUUACUCAGAGUUUCACCUUCCAGUUCAUCAGACAGUUGUGAUGAAUACUCACUCAUACAUAUAUAUAUGAGUGUAUAUAUACAUACAUAUAUAUGUAUAUAGAUAUAUAUAUGUGUGUAUGUACACAUGUAUAAAUAUAUAUAUAUACAUAUACACACAUAUAUUUAUAUACACAUAUAUAUCUAUAUAUCUAUAUAUGUGUGUGUGUGUAUGCGUGUAUAUAUAUAUAUACAUGUAUAUGUGUGUGUGUGUAUAUGUAUGCAUACAUGUAUGUGUGUGUGGUUGAUGCAUAUCUUAUGACAAUGUUCAGAUUACAACUUUUUUAAUGCAUGAACUGCAUUAUGCCAGUUUAAUUGGAAAUGAGAUUGUGAAGGCCUUGAAAUUUUAGACUAAUUAAUUUAGGGACAUCUAUGCUUUUAGUUCUAAACCAAACGAUAGACUAAUAAAGAAAUGUGCAUUUGAGGACAUGUCUGCAUAAAUGAGUGUAUAGGUGUGUAUGUGUUUCUAUAUAUGUGUGUGUAUGUGUGUUUGUCUAUGUAUUUAUGAAUGUAAUGUUUUCUGUUGUGAUGUGUGUGAGUAAUUUAUUAGAAGGUUUCAAAAAUAAAAAAAACAAAAAAAUGCCUGUAUAUCUACCUGGAAAAACACCAAUAAGACGAUUAUCUUCAUUCUAAGUUGAAACUAAAUUCUGAAUGUUAGUAUUAUCUACUGCAUGAAUUGCAUGAGGAAAAGAGGCAAUACAUAGACCUUAUAAAUGUUUAAAAUCAAUGAGCCAAACUAUCAAAUAAUUACAAUAAAAUAACAUUUCCCCACCCACCAACACCACUGUCAACGUUACCACCACUGUCACCGUCACUAUCAUUGUCAACGUUACCGGCACCGUCACCAUCACCAUCACCGUCAUCCCCUCAGCAGUCAACUGCCUUGACUAUUUCAAUUGUCAUUCUCUUAUUCUCAGCCAUUUGGCAAUGUGUGAAUUUAUUGACGGGGUGUUUUUCUGAAACUAUAAACAACAUUUAAGGGAUUAAACAUUACUAAAUCAAAAUAUAGUCAAUGCUUAUCUCCCUGGUUUACACAGCAUAAAGUAGAACAAGGGAUAAAUCUUCUCCAGGUUAUGGAUGUUGGUCUAUUGCAAGGAAGCCUUUCUGACAGGAGCAAUUAAACUCAGUCCUGCAAGCCAACAAAUCUUUUGUCAGUUCCAGAAUGAUGUUGCUGCCACUGCUGUCUCUACUAGUGAGUGUAGCUACUUACAGCUUGGUGGAUUGGCAGCUGAGAGUUAUGUGUUUUAGCCAUGGGCAUUAUACAGCCUUGGUGAAAGGUUCUACUCUACUCCCACCAACCUCUUGACUUUGUCAUUCGGUAUCCUACUCAUAAACUUGAGAUCACUCAUUGAAGCAAAUUCUCUGUGUUGUUGCUCAGUCUGCUAGAAAUAGCAGUCAAAUCUCGUUCAAACUGCAUCUUAUUGUUUUAAAUGAGAAAAGGAAAUAUUGGAUGAUAUUGAGCAGUGGCUGUCACUGGAUUAUCAAAAUAUAUUAAAAAGAUAAAAAAUGAUUUGUAUCUUUGCUUGGGAAUUAUAAAAUAAACAAACAACAACUUUUAAUUGCUGUGUGGUUAAGAAGUUUGCUUUGCAAACAUGUGGUUUUGGGUUCAGUCUCACAGGAAGGCACUUUGGGCAUGUGACUUCUAUAGCCCCAGGUCAAUAAAUGCCUUGUAAAUUAAUGGGAUUGAUGUAAACUGCACAGAAGCUUGUUAUGUUGUAUAUGUAUGUAUGUUUCCAUGCAUGCAUGCAUAUGUGUAUGUAUGCAUGUAUGGAUGUACGUACGUAUGUAUGUGUCAGUAUAUGUGUAUGUGUGCAUAUGUUUAUAUGUGUGUGUGUGUAUGGUACAUACAUGCAUAUUAAUAUGUAUGUGUGUGUAUGCAUGUUUAUAUGCAUAUGUGUAUAUAUAUAUAUGUAUAUUUAUGCGUGCAAAUAUAUAUAUUAUAUAUAUAUCUGUAUGUAUGUAUACGUAUAUCUAAUGCAUGUGUAUGCAUAUUUAUAUGUAUAUGUGUGUGUAUAUAUGUGUGUAUAUAUAUAUAUAUAUAUAUAUAUAUAUAUAUAUAUAUGUAUAUUUAUAUGUGUGUAUGUGUAUAUAUGUAAAUACACAUACACACACAGAUAUAUGCAUGUAUAUCUAUGUAUGUGUGUAUCUAUAUAAACAAUGAGCUUCCACACUAUUCCCGUCUACUAAAUUCACUCACAAGAUUUUGGUCGGUCAUAGACUAUAGUUUAUGACACUUGCCCAAGGCGCCACACUGUG